AAAAUAAUCACGUUAAUAUAUUAAUACGUAAAUAUACAAAUAUUUUAAUAAGAAUAAAAAAUACAAAACCCACGUACAAUGUUGAAAAACAAUAUAAAAUAAUUUAUAUUUUGAGUAUUAAACCUAACCACAACAAUAAAAACUCAAAUAUACUUACUAUAUAUAAGAAAACUUGAGCAAACAUUUAAGAAAAUGUAUAUCAUUUCAAUCAUGUCAUGCUAAUAUAAACUUAUAAUCUCUAACAAGACUAAUAACAAUAAAAAAAAUAAAAAAGUUUAGUUAGACAUAUGUGAAGAUGAUAUAAAAAUGUGUGCUCAUUAUAAAAACAUAACAAAAAAGAAAGAUAAUAAUAAAAUAAUAUAUUGUUAGAGAAUGUAUUUGAAAACAAAUAAAAAAACAUAAACAAGUUAGAAAAAUAAACAAACAUCCAACGUUAAGUAAAAUAAACGUAAUAUCCCUCAUCAUUUAAAAUUUUUGAAAAGAAAAAAAUUAUUAUUGUACACAUUACUAGCAAAUGUAAAUCUAAAAAACAAACCACAAAAUCAUACAAAAAAUAAAAAUCUAUAUCACAAAUAAAGUAUAUCCCGCCCGUAGGGCGGACCGACCCUAGUUCUAAAUAUAUAUACGUAUAUGAGAAACAGAGAUAAACCACCUAAAGAAAAAGGAUAAAUAUUUGAUAAUAAAGUGAAUAUGAGCACAUAUUUGUUCAUCGAUAAAUAAAUUAACGUCUGCUCACUAAAACCUUUGUUUUUAGAUUUCGUUGUUGUCUGUAUUUCUCAAGUGGCAUGCAGUGUCAUCCACAUUUCAACACUUUCAGUCAACGUCGCUUCCACUUCCAAACAAUAUAGACAAGUAGAUAAUAACAAGUCAAGCAGCCAACUUGGAAAUUUCCAAUGGCGUUGAGAUAAACAAGUAGAU
rnacentral:lncRNA from 1 species